GUAUUCUGCGAGUACCAUACCUCAUAAUUGAAACAUCGGCAAAUGAUUAAAAAAAUUAAUUAAAAAAAUUAAAUAAUCUCACGAUGUUCAAAUUGGGAGAUAUGAUGGCAUUAGGAACCACAAUCAAGGCCCUUCAAUAAAUGAAAAGAGGGAAGAUUUUCAAUAAAGCUGAGGGAGACAACCUACCAACUUCAAAAUGACUCCAUAAUGCCAAAUGGCUGCCAAAAUCAAAGAGGAUUUUGGAAAGAUGAACCGACGCACUGGUUCAUUCAUUGCAUUUUACUUUUGACUCGACAGAUCAAUGUGCUACCCCCAUGCCUAGAAGGUUCAAUAGUUCGGUACCUCUAUUUCAAAAAACCUUCGACGCAUUAUUUACUGAUAAAUGUUACAAAAUAAUAAGAUCCGUACGUGCUCUUGUAUUUCAAAACACUACUUUGGAUGUUGAUCAUGUAUGAUUUCACUUUUAAAAUUAUAAUUUGAAAUUUAUUGAGACUUUUGACACAUAAAUUUUAUAACACCACUUAAAAAUCUAUCGAAUUAAUUCAAAAAAAAAAAAAUUCUUAUCACUCUUCCAAAAAGGACUUGCAUGAGAUUCGAACUUAUGAGCCCAAACAUAUGUUGGGGGGUAUAAAUAUCACUAAGCUAUAAAUCUGGUGUCAAUGCAUUUAGCAGUAUAUCAGUAGGAUUCAAACUAAUUACUAUACCUGAAAAGAACUCAUCAACAAUUAAUUGGCACCCCCUGCUUUCUGUCGUAUUAAUACAUCUCAAAUCAUAUAGACAGCAAAAAUAAAGCAAAAAGACAAAAGCAAGAUAUGUAAAACAAUUUAUUUAUUUAUUUAGCAAAAGUAAUGACACGUGCAUAUAUUAAAAAAUGUAUGUGGGACAGUGCCCCACAUAGGAAUGACAUGGACUUUCCUCAAGAGAGGGAACAACAAAAUGUGUUAUCACGUGCAUGCAUGCACGCAAGAUCCCCAAGAGUCUUCACAGCUUAUCCAAAGGCCAAAGCUGUGUAAUCCAAAGAACUUGAAUUUCAAAAUCAUAAUCAUGAAAAAAAAUUUCGUCCGAUUAUAAAAAUAGAAGAUAAUUACGUUAUGGGCUGAAACUGAAAUGAAAGUUUGAAUAAAACUUUUUAGUUCAUAAAUGUUACUGUUGUUUAGUUACAGAGUUGAAUUACUUUGUUUUUUUUUCCCAAAUUAUUACAUCAUCACUAGAUAUCAUUAAUUUGGGACAGUUGCUUUCCAAUCGGGAAGGUAAGUGCUCAUGGAGCUCACUUGAUAGUAUUUUGAUACCAAAUUCUCGUGACUUUUAAAUUACGGUACCUAUAAACUAAAAAUUAUUACGAACAUCAUUAUCGAAGGCUUAAGAAUAAAUCUUUCUAAAAAAUGAAUGAAAUUUAUAUAAAAAUAGCAGCCAUAGACCAAUUGUUAGGUUGUUAGCAACCACCUCAAACAAACGAGCCCUAUACUACUCUUAAAAGUUAUUGUUGGAUAUACAAUUGUAGCAAUUCAGGCCAACAACCAAAUGCCUAGAUUGUUUCCUAUUUCUUACACUACCAAUCAAAUUGAAAAUUUUUAGUUUUACUAUAUAAACCUUUAUAAAUACUCAAUAUGACAUCGACUAACAAAAGUUUAUAUAUAAAUCCAUUAAUUAAAUAUUAAUUUUUAUCAAAUAAAAAAAAUAAUUUUUUAUUAAAUUAUUGUUAAAAUGUAAUUUGUUCAUCACAAACCAACAAAUAUAAUUUAUUCAACUAUAUUUUUUAACAGAUGGUCAAAUUUAAAUAACCCAACAUUUAUAUAAAAGUAAAACUCAGUAUAUAUAUAAUUCAUUACAUUAUUAUCACCACAAAAAGGAUUUGGGAGAAGCUUUUAACAAAAGAUAUACAACUAGUGAACUAGAGAUGGUAUAGGGAUUACAACUAUCUUCAGUUUUUUAAAAGAUUAGGAUUUUACUUGAAAAAUUCAUUUUCUAAUUAAUUGUGCUUUUUGUGUUGGAAGUAUGACUAGCGGAGAAAUCCAAUUAGGAGGUUGAUUAAGAACAUUUCAUUACCAAAAUCCUUCAUCAUUUAUACUUUUGAUUAAUUGAAUUAGAAUAAAAUAUAACAAAUUUAAUGUUUAGGAGGGAUGUAUACAUUGGAUGUAUUUAAAAGUGAUUACAAAAAUUUUAGAAUAUAAAACUUUCUUUUUAUUUUAUUAUCUUGGCCAUAUCAGUAAUUUAUAUUUUACGUAUUUUAGUAAUAAAUUUUUUAAUUGAAAAAUGAGCUUAAAAAGAUAUUUUGAUGGGUUUAAAUAAUUUUACCUAUCCCCUCAUUAUCGAAUACUAUGAGGGAUUUAUAGAAAUUGAAACAGAAGGGACUUAAAUAUUAAAAUAUUAAAAUAUCUAGUUUUCUUAGUUUUUUAAUAAACAAUAAGGACUCUAAUGUAAUUAGAUCAGAACAUUUUUUGUCCUUAAUUAUGACUAAUGAUUUUUUUUAAUAGUAACGUGGAUCAUGUUACGAAGCAAAUUGGCAAAAUAAAAAUAAACAUAAAAAUAAAAAUAAAUGUUUAUUGAUGCAUGCAUGUUUCACGUUUUUGCCGACCUAAUCGAUUGCUUCAAUUUGAUUAAGAUCUUUAGCGACCUCAAUUAAUGGCUUCGUUAAAAUAAUAGUUACAUUUGAUUUCUUAAUUUUUUUUUCAAAUUAAAUGACAAGGAAUCUACACUUUUUUUUUUCUUAAUCAGACAAAAAUGUCAGACAUCUCUCUAAAAUGUUAAAAAGAAAAUUAUCCUUUAAUCUACAUUAUCUUAAAAAGUUCUAUAAUUCUAUAAUGCAUGAUUAUUGUCAUGAUUAAGAUAAUAGUAAUUUAUUUUUAAGUUAUUCAAUAUUAAUUUAAUAGCCUAUUAUAAUAUUUAACAUGUACCGUAAUAUAUAAAUAAUCAAAAUUAGAAGACUGCUGACAAUUGCAUGGCCAGGUGAUUUUUAGGUUAUUUUAUUUAGUUGGCCAAUCAUGUUACAUUAAGAAGCACUGUCUUCACAUUUAUCUGAUGUGAUUCAAGAUUGGAAUGUGCCACCAAUACCAUUAUGAUCCUAAAAAGUCUUUUCAAGAAAUUGGUGAUAAAGUCUCUUUUAUAGUUGAUGCAUUUUUUUGGUAUAAAGUCUUUGUGAAAAAACGCCUCUUGUAUCUCGUUACAUUGUCUUUUAAAUUCUUUUGGUCUUAAAUAUCCAUUUGCAACUAAUAAGUUUAGUAACUUUUGGUAAUAGGACAAGAUCCUAUACGUCAUUGUCCUUCACGGACCUUAUCUCCUUAUUCAUAGCAUUUUUUAUCACUCUAAUAUCUACCUCACGUUCUUAAAGAAAUAUAAUGUAGUCAUCUGGCACUGCAUAGUGAAUCUCCUUAAUGGUUUGGGUUCUUGAGAUAGUAGUGUUUUUUCUUUUGGAAUAAUUUCU
rnacentral:lncRNA from 1 species